rnacentral:sRNA from 1 species
GGCUCUGAGAAGGGUUUUCCUUCCUGAUUAAAAGAGACACACGUGGUGUUUACAACUAAUUGAUCACAGCCAGUUACAGAUUCCUUUGUUCCUUCUCCACUCCCACUGCUCCACUUGACCAGCCUUAA